CCGGUCUAUGAACUUUAGACUUUGCUUUCUCCACGGCUGCGGACUGGCUUUCUUUAGAGAUGAUUACAGCCUCCUUCCAGGAUGUUUGAGAUCCCAUUUGCAGUUCACAGACUCAUUGGUUUUAAAGGUAAUUUCUACAAGUGUUCACCCUUCUUCUUGUGAUGAUACGAGAUGGUCAAAUAUCUACCUGAUGAGAUGAAGUAAAUGACGUGGGCAUUGUGACGUAACCUUAGGCUACUAUUGAUCUUCUGGAAAUACAGCAGCAGGAAGAUUACCUACUUCCAGCCAGUGGUUGAUGUAUGACUGACUGAAGCGAAAACCAGGGGAAAGGGAGAAGGGAUGGAGCGGAGCCUCAACAAAGGUGACACAUAACAGAAGCAAGGGAGAGUGUCAUGGCAUCAACUAAUGCAUGAUGCAGAGGUUAAUGGGCACACCCUAUGUGGGUGGUGAAGACAACACCUCCAAUUAAUGACACAAGAAGUACCCAGCUCAAAGUGGAGAGGUGGUAUUGCAGAGGGAAACAAGCCUCCAGAAGAUGGAGAUCUCAUUCCUGGCUUCAGCUUUGCUCAAGAAGCUCUUGAAUACAUCUCUUCGCAAUAUGGGCUUUCAUUUCUUGUGGGAAACUGAAGAACAUGGGCUUGGAGUUUCCCAGAGGUUCUUGUGUGUACCUGGUGGUUGUGUGUGAGUUUGAGUAUGUGCGCUUCGUGUUGCAUGAUGGGGGGAGGGGGUGUCAAUGAACAGAACAGUGGGUUCAAGCUCAUUUUUCUAGAAAUAGUAGUCAAAAUUUUUGGAUUCCAGACUGUUUGCCCAGCACUGGCAAUUCAUAUUGCACCUGAGUCUGAAGAUAAGUCUGGAGGCAGAAUUUCUUUUUUCUCAGGGGACCUCGGUCUUUCUAUUAAGGUUUUCAACUGGUUGGAGAGAGCCUGCCCACAUUAACAUGGUUUAUUUCCUUUAGUCUGUGCUGUAAUCUCACAGAGUAAAGAGCAUUGUUACCAUUUCACAGAUAAGGAACCUGAGGCUUCACAGUGUGUAUUAGUAUUCUCUGGAGAAACAGAAUCAGUAGGAUAUGUAUGUGUGUAUUUAUCUCUCUAGUGAGAGAUGUAUUUUAACGAAUUGGUUCACAUAAUUGUGGGGGCUGACAAGUCUGAAAUCUGCAGGGCUGAGACAUAGGGAAGAGCUGAUGCUACAGCUUGAGUGGGAAGACAGAAUGGAGGCAGAAUUCACUCUUUCUCGGGGAACUCAGUCUUUCUAUGAAGGUCUUCAACUGCUUGGACGAGGACCACCCAAAUUAGGUGGGGGGAGGAUAAUCUGCUUUAAUCAAAGUCUACUGAUAUAAAUAUUAAUCACAUCUAAAAAAAUACCUUCACAGCAAUAUCUAGACUCAUGUUUGACCCAAUACAUGGGCACUAUGGCCUAGCCAACUUGACACAUAAAAUUAACCCUCAGAGAGAAAUAAAGCCCAUGUUACUCAGCAGUAAAAUAGAACCAAGGUUUGAACUCAGACAGCCUGACAUCACAGUCCAUGGCCUUCUCACCUAGGCUGGUUGCUGGUGUGGCAGUGUGCAAAUGGCCCAAUGUAUCUACUCCCAGAAGUCUCAGCAGAAAAAAUGACCAUGGGAUUUCUGCUCUACUUACUUCCUAGGAGGGUAGUGACCUCAGGGGAUAAUAUAUCCAAAAGCUCUUAGCAUGAUGUGAGUAAAUGUCAGUAGUACUAAACAUAUGGGGUCAUUUCGUCCCCCCUGCUCCCAUUUAAAAUGAUUUCUUUGGGAAAGUAAAUCAGCACAACCCUUUUUAGAGGGCAGUUUGAAAUUUUCUUUUAAAAUAAAAAUGUGAGAGGCGCCUGAGUGGCUCAGUCGGUUAAGCAUCUGCCUUCGGCUCAGGUCAUGAUCCCACAGUC